rnacentral:lncRNA from 1 species
UGAACAAAAUAUUAUCCAUAGCAAAUAAUAGUGAACAUCGUAAAACCUUAACAAGUACAAAAUAUGUAGAUGGAUAACAUGUUGACCUUAAGAAUAAUAUUAACUGUGGUUUUAAGUGAAAAGAUUGACAUUCAUUCAUAGUAGGUGCCUUAAAUGAUGUUAUGUUNAACCUCACCAACCUUCUAAAUGCACUCACCUCGACCUCCUUAAUUGAUUUUGAAGUCCUCUUCACCAAACUCCAGAGCUGCCCAUUAAUCCGUUGUGCUUGAACGAUGAAAGGUGGUUGAAGGAAGUAAUGAGAAAGAGAAAGGAGACCUUAGGGGGGACAAAAGCAGGUUUUUUUUGGAGGGAAGAAGCGUAUGUUGGAAGGCACGAAGUACAACCAAAGUUAACUUCAAGAAGCAAAAUUGGAUUUGAUUUGAUUUCACUAAGGAUCCUUGCAUUUAAUUUUGUCAUAAAAAAGUUCUCUUUUCUCGUUCCCCACAUUUAAUGCACGUAACUUUACUUUACCCACAUUUAAUGCAAUGUCAUUCUUAGCUGAAAGGGGUCUAACUUUUUCCUUUAAACUUUUUUAACUACCAAUUCGGGUAUCACAAUUUGUCUUGCAUAUUCACUUUGACUUUCAUCUUUUUGUGCAAUGAUGGA